rnacentral:rRNA from 2 species
GGUUAAGCGACUAAGCGUACACGGUGGAUGCCCUGGCAGUCAGAGGCGAUGAAGGACGUGCUAAUCUGCGAAAAGCGUCGGUAAGGUGAUAUGAACCGUUAUAACCGGCGAUGUCCGAAUGGGGAAACCCAGUGUGAUUCGUCACACUAUCGUUAACUGAAUACAUAGGUUAACGAGGCGAACCGGGGGAACUGAAACAUCUAAGUACCCCGAGGAAAAGAAAUCAACCGAGAUUCCCCCAGUAGCGGCGAGCGAACGGGGAGCAGCCCAGAGUCUGAAUCAGCUUGUGUGUUAGUGGAACGGUCUGGAAAGUCCGACGGUACAGGGUGAUAGUCCCGUACACCAAAAUGCACAGGUUGUGAACUCGAAGAGUAGGGCGGGACACGUGGUAUCCUGUCUGAAUAUGGGGGGACCAUCCUCCAAGGCUAAAUACUCCUGACUGACCGAUAGUGAACCAGUACCGUGAGGGAAAGGCGAAAAGAACCCCGGCGAGGGGAGUGAAAAAGAACCUGAAACCGUGUACGUACAAGCAGUGGGAGCACCUUCGGGUGUGACUGCGUACCUUUUGUAUAAUGGGUCAGCGACUUAUAUUCUGUAGCAAGGUUAACCGUAUAGGGGAGCCGCAGGGAAACCGAGUCUUAACUGGGCGUUAAGUUGCAGGGUAUAGACCCGAAACCCGGUGAUCUAGCCAUGGGCAGGUUGAAGGUUGGGUAACACUAACUGGAGGACCGAACCGACUAAUGUUGAAAAAUUAGCGGAUGACUUGUGGCUGGGGGUGAAAGGCCAAUCAAACCGGGAGAUAGCUGGUUCUCCCCGAAAGCUAUUUAGGUAGCGCCUCGUGAACUCAUCUUCGGGGGUAGAGCACUGUUUCGGCUAGGGGGUCAUCCCGACUUACCAACCCGAUGCAAACUACGAAUACCGAAGAAUGUUAUCACGGGAGACACACGGCGGGUGCUAACGUCCGUCGUGAAGAGGGAAACAACCCAGACCGCCAGCUAAGGUCCCAAAGUCAUGGUUAAGUGGGAAACGAUGUGGGAAGGCACAGACAGCCAGGAUGUUGGCUUAGAAGCAGCCAUCAUUUAAAGAAAGCGUAAUAGCUCACUGGUCGAGUCGGCCUGCGCGGAAGAUGUAACGGGGCUAAACCAUGCACCGAAGCUGCGGCAGCGACACUAUGUGUUGUUGGGUAGGGGAGCGUUCUGUAAGCCUGCGAAGGUGACCUGUGAGGGUUGCUGGAGGUAUCAGAAGUGCGAAUGCUGACAUAAGUAACGAUAAAGCGGGUGAAAAGCCCGCUCGCCGGAAGACCAAGGGUUCCUGUCCAACGUUAAUCGGGGCAGGGUGAGUCGACCCCUAAGGCGAGGCCGAAAGGCGUAGUCGAUGGGAAACAGGUUAAUAUUCCUGUACUUGGUGUUACUGCGAAGGGGGGACGGAGAAGGCUAUGUUAGCCGGGCGACGGUUGUCCCGGUUUAAGCAUGUAGGCUGGUUGUCCAGGCAAAUCCGGAUAAUCAAGGCUGAGGUGUGAUGACGAGGCACUACGGUGCUGAAGUAACAAAUGCCCUGCUUCCAGGAAAAGCCUCUAAGCAUCAGGUAACAUCAAAUCGUACCCCAAACCGACACAGGUGGUCAGGUAGAGAAUACCAAGGCGCUUGAGAGAACUCGGGUGAAGGAACUAGGCAAAAUGGUGCCGUAACUUCGGGAGAAGGCACGCUGGUGUGUAGGUGAAGUCCCUGCGGAUGGAGCUGAGACCAGUCGAAGAUACCAGCUGGCUGCAACUGUUUAUUAAAAACACAGCACUGUGCAAACACGAAAGUGGACGUAUACGGUGUGACGCCUGCCCGGUGCCGGAAGGUUAAUUGAUGGGGUUAUCCGUAAGGAGAAGCUCUUGAUCGAAGCCCCGGUAAACGGCGGCCGUAACUAUAACGGUCCUAAGGUAGCGAAAUUCCUUGUCGGGUAAGUUCCGACCUGCACGAAUGGCGUAAUGAUGGCCAGGCUGUCUCCACCCGAGACUCAGUGAAAUUGAACUCGCUGUGAAGAUGCAGUGUACCCGCGGCAAGACGGAAAGACCCCGUGAACCUUUACUAUAGCUUGACACUGAACAUUGAGCCUUGAUGUGUAGGAUAGGUGGGAGGCUUUGAAGCGUGGACGCCAGUCUGCGUGGAGCCAACCUUGAAAUACCACCCUUUAAUGUUUGAUGUUCUAACGUUGGCCCCUUACCGGGGUUGCGGACAGUGUCUGGUGGGUAGUUUGACUGGGGCGGUCUCCUCCCAAAGCGUAACGGAGGAGCACGAAGGUUAGCUAAUCCUGGUCGGACAUCAGGAGGUUAGUGCAAUGGCAUAAGCUAGCUUGACUGCGAGCGUGACGGCGCGAGCAGGUGCGAAAGCAGGUCAUAGUGAUCCGGUGGUUCUGAAUGGAAGGGCCAUCGCUCAACGGAUAAAAGGUACUCCGGGGAUAACAGGCUGAUACCGCCCAAGAGUUCAUAUCGACGGCGGUGUUUGGCACCUCGAUGUCGGCUCAUCACAUCCUGGGGCUGAAGUAGGUCCCAAGGGUAUGGCUGUUCGCCAUUUAAAGUGGUACGCGAGCUGGGUUUAGAACGUCGUGAGACAGUUCGGUCCCUAUCUGCCGUGGGCGCUGGAGAAUUGAGGGGGGCUGCUCCUAGUACGAGAGGACCGGAGUGGACGCAUCACUGGUGUUCGGGUUGUCAUGCCAAUGGCACUGCCCGGUAGCUAAAUGCGGAAGAGAUAAGUGCUGAAAGCAUCUAAGCACGAAACUUGCCCCGAGAUGAGUUCUCCCUGAGACUUUAAGUCUCCUGAAGGAACGUUAAAGACGAUGACGUUGAUAGGCCGGGUGUGUAAGCGCAGCGAUGCGUUGAGCUAACCGGUACUAAUGAACCGUGAGGCUUAACCUU